rnacentral:rRNA from 1 species
ACGGGGUGCAGCACGCGCGAAAACUUUACAAUGCGGUAAACCGUGAUAAGGGAACUCCGAGUGCCCGUAAAAUCGGGCUGUCCACCAGUUUAAAUAACUGGUGAAGAAAGGGCCGGGCAAGACCGGUGCCAGCCGCCGCGGUAAUACCGGCGGCUCGAGUGGUGGCCACUAUUACUGGGCUUAAAGCGUUCGUAGCUGGUCUGUUAAGUCUCUGGGGAAAUCUACUGGCUUAACCAAUAGGCGUCUCAGGGAUACUGGCAGACUAGGGACCGGGAGAGGUGAGAGGUACUCCAGGGGUAGGAGUGAAAUCCUGUAAUCCUUGGGGACCACCUGUGGCGAAGGCGUCUCACCAGAACGGCUCCGACAGUGAGGGACGAAAGCUGGGGGAGCAAACUGGAUUAGAUACCCGGGUAGUCCCAGCUGUAAACGAUGCACGUUAGGUGUAUCGGUGACCACGAGUCACCGAGGUGCCGAAGAGAAAUCGUGAAACGUGCCGCCUGGGAAGUACGGUCGCAAGGCUGAAACUUAAAGGAAUUGGCGGGGGAGCAC